rnacentral:rRNA from 1 species
AUUGAACGCUGGCGGCAUGCUUUACACAUGCAAGUCGGACGAGUGGCGGACGGGUGAGUAACGCCUCGGAACGUGCCUAAUGAUGGGGGAUAACUGCUUGAAAGGAUAGCUAAUACCGCAUACCAUCCGAUCGGCCGAUGUUGGAUUAGCUGGUUGGUGGGGUAAAGGCCCACCAAGGCGACGAUCAGUAGCUGGUCUGAGAGGAUGAUCAGCCACACUGGAACUGAGACACGGCCCAGACUCCUACGGGAGGCAGCAGUGGGGAAUUUUGGACAAUGGGCGCAAGCCUGAUCCAGCCAUGCCGCGUGUCUGAAGAAGGCCUUCGGGUUGUAAAGUACUUUCGUCAGGGAAGCGGUACCUGCAGAAUAAGCACCGGCUAACUACGUGCCAGCAGCCGCGGUAAUAC